UACGUAGGGUGCGAGCGUUGUCCGGAAUUACUGGGCGUAAAGAGCUCGUAGGUGGUUUGUCGCGUUGUUCGUGAAAACUCACAACUCAAUUUGUGGGCGUGCGGGCGAUACGGGCAGACUGGAGUACUGCAGGGGAGACUGGAAUUCCUGGUGUAGCGGUGGAAUGCGCAGAUAUCAGGAGGAACACCGAUGGCGAAGGCAGUUCUCUGGGCCGUAACUGACGCUGAGGAGCGAAAGCCAGGGGAGCGAACGGG
rnacentral:rRNA from 1 species